rnacentral:rRNA from 1 species
AUUGAACGCUGGCGGCAGGCUUAACACAUGCAAGUCGAGCGGAGACUUCGGUCUUAGCGGUGAACGGGUGAGGAAUGCCUGGGAAUCUGCCUAUUAGUGGGGGAUAACGUUCCGAAAGGAACGCUAAUACCGCAUACGUCCUACGGGAGAAAGCAGGGGACCUUCGGGCCUUGCGCUAAUAGAUGAGCCCAGGUCGGAUUAGCUAGUUGGUGGGGUAAAGGCUCACCAAGGCGACGAUCCGUAGCUGGUCUGAGAGGAUGAUCAGCCACACUGGAACUGAGACACGGUCCAGACUCCUACGGGAGGCAGCAGUGGGGAAUAUUGGACAAUGGGCGAAAGCCUGAUCCAGCCAUGCCGCGUGUGUGAAGAAGGCCUUCGGGUUGUAAAGCACUUUAAGCGGGGAGGAAGUACUUGGGGCCAAUAUCCCUGAGUGUUGACGUUACCCGCAGAAUAAGCACCGGCUAACUCUGUGCCAGCCGCCGCGGUAAAAC